rnacentral:sRNA from 1 species
UUUUUAAUUAAUUAUUAGCCCUAUGCGUUUGGGUAUUCGGGUCGGGUAUUUCGGGUUCGGGUUUUCGGGUUUAGAAGUUUAGGACCCGUUCGGGUAAUUUAAGAUUUUGGGUCGGGUUCGGUUUGGGUUCGGGUUUGGGUUCGAGUUUAUUUAUAUAUUGAAAUAUGAAAUUUUGUGUGCAAAUUUAUUAAAUUACUUGAAAAUUUCAAAAAUUCCCAAAACAACACGAGUAGUUUUGCUUGAAUAUAUCUAAAAAUACACAAAAAUCACUAAAAUAUCCAAAAAAAUCCUAAUAUUUUUUAUAUAUAAGUAUAAAUAUAACUAAUAUAUACUUAUAUUUGAGAUAUGUUUGGAUACCUAUUCGGGUUCGGGUUCAAAUUUUUCGGGUUUUGAAGUUUAGACCCGUUCGAGUAUUUGAAAAUUUCGGGUACACCCGCCUAAAUAGGCGGGCCUAGUAAUAUAUGUAGUCAAUAAUCUAUUUAUAACUUAGGUAUAUAAGGAAAGCUAU